rnacentral:rRNA from 1 species
GACGAACGCUGGCGGCGUGCUUAACACAUGCAAGUCGAACGAUGAUGCCAGCUUGCUGGUGGAUUAGUGGCGAACGGGUGAGUAACACGUGAGCAACCUGCCCCUGACUUCGGGAUAACCGCGGGAAACCGUGGCUAAUACCGGAUAUGACGCGCUAUCGCAUGGUGGUGUGUGGAAAGAUUUAUCGGUUGGGGAUGGGCUCGCGGCCUAUCAGCUUGUUGGUGGGGUGAUGGCCUACCAAGGCGACGACGGGUAGCCGGCCUGAGAGGGUGACCGGCCACACUGGGACUGAGACACGGCCCAGACUCAUACGGGAGGCAGCAGUGGGGAAUAAUGAACAAUGGGCGCAAGCCUGAUGCAGCGACGCCGCGUGAGGGAUGACGGCCUUCGGGUUGUAAACCUCUUUCAGUAGGGAAGAAGGCCUUCGGGUUGACGGUACCUGCAGAAGAAGCGCCGGCUAACUACGUG